rnacentral:rRNA from 1 species
AGUGAACGCUGGCGGUAGGCCUAACACAUGCAAGUCGAACGGCAGCACAGUAAGAGCUUGCUCUUACGGGUGGCGAGUGGCGGACGGGUGAGGAAUACAUCGGAAUCUACUUUUUCGUGGGGGAUAACGUAGGGAAACUUACGCUAAUACCGCAUACGACCUACGGGUGAAAGCAGGGGAUCUUCGGACCUUGCGCGAUUGAAUGAGCCGAUGUCGGAUUAGCUAGUUGUCGGGGUAAAGGCCCACCAAGGCGACGAUCCGUAGCUGGUCUGAGAGGAUGAUCAGCCACACUGGAACUGAGACACGGUCCAGAGUCCUACGGGAGGCAGCAGUGGGGAAUAUUGGACCAUGGGCGCAAGCCUGAUCCAGCCAUACCGAGUGGGUGAAGAAGGCCUUCGGGUUGUAAAGCCCUUUUGUUGGGAAAGAAAAGCAGCAGGUUAAUACCCCGCUGUUCUGACGGUACCCAAAGAAUAAGCACCGGCUAACUUAGUG